rnacentral:tRNA from 1 species
GCUCACUUGGUGAAAUUGGUAGACACAACAGACUCAAAAUCUGUAUUAUUGUCGGUUCAACUCCGACAGUGAGUA